rnacentral:lncRNA from 1 species
UCGGGGGGCAGUGAAGAAAGCGAGUCCUGAGCUGGCAGCGUUGGCACAGGUUUUGCUCUGGAAAAUAAGGAAAAGAAUGAAAAGGCCCUCGUUUUCUGCCCCUACACUCUGUCUGCUAACAAUGCCCCGAGUGUUCUUGAAGGAACACACACUGCUUGCAGACAUCUGAGACUGGAGCAGAGCACGAUGCCUGGUGGAACAGCGCUGCACCAAGGGAAAGGCGGGGAAAGCUGUCCUGGAGUGGAUCCCCAAUGUCCUGCCAUGGAUGAUGAUAGCCAGGAUGAACUGAUAAAUAAGAACGCUGCACUAGGCAAGGGCAGAAGGCAGAGUCUAGCACUCCUCAGUGAAACAGAAAGCAAUGGUGGAAACAGUUGUGAGUCAGAAGGUGAUACUGGAAGUGGGGAGGAAGAAGAUGACACAGAGGAAGAGGGAGGUGAGGAGGACAAGGAAGAAAGUGAAGAUGAAGAAUUAGAAGGUAGGUCUGUUAAUGUGCAUAACAAAUUUUUUUUUUCAAUAAUUGGAGGAAGAGUGGGAUGAAAGAUUUUCUUCCAGGAAGUAACCAUGAAAUGUAAAUCUGCAGAUGUGCUUUGUUAGGGUAUUGGCCAAUGCCUCCAAUAAUAAAUAAAUAAGUGAUAUUUCCCA